UGGGGAAUUUUGCGCAAUGGGGGAAACCCUGACGCAGCAACGCCGCGUGAGUGAUGAAGGCCUUCGGGCCGUAAAGCUCUGUCAGAGGGAAAGAAAUGCGGGAGGGUUAAUACCCCUUUUGCUUGACGGUACCCUCAAAGGAAGCACCGGCUAACUCCGUGCCAGCAGCCGCGGUAAUACGGAGGGUGCGAGCGUUGUUCGGAAUUAUUGGGCGUAAAGCGCGUGUAGGCGGUCUUUUAAGUCUGAUGUGAAAGCCCCGGGCUCAACCUGGGAAGUGCAUUGGAAACUGGGAGACUUGAAUACGGGAGAGGGUAGUGGAAUUCCUAGUGUAGGAGUGAAAUCCGUAGAUAUUAGGAGGAACACCGGUGGCGAAGGCGGCUACCUGGACCGAUAUUGACGCUGAGACGCGAAAGCGUGGGGAGCAAACAG
rnacentral:rRNA from 1 species